ensembl:lncRNA
CGCUGCUAUUACUGUGAGGAGUUGGGACACUGGGCCAAGGACUGUCCACACAGACAGGGACAGUAUGCCCGAGGACGUGCAGCGUCUGGUCCACGGAGGGCUUCCUCCCGCCCCCCAGGACCUCCAUUCACUGGACAGUUUCCUGUUUCCGGCUGGGAACAGUGGGAUUGUGACUUCUCACAACACUGACACACCCCACAGAGCAGCUCAGAUUACAUCGGCACGGCAGACCCGAUGUUAUCUAUGCAAGUAGAGGAUGAGACACUGCCUUUUCUGGUGGAUACUGGCGCCACCUGUUCUACACUGUUUCAAUCAUCUUCUAUGGAAUUGUCCAACAACUCUAUCACUGUGAUGGGCUUCUCUGGGGAUAAACAGACUCUGCCUAUAACCACUCCCAUGACUGCUCAGUUGGGACAUCAGACUGUUUCACACUGUUUUGUACACUCACCUCUUCUGCCUCUGAAUAUACUGGGGAGAGACUUGCUGAUUAAGUUUGGAGCAUCUAUUUUGUGCGGCCCAGACGGGCUGACAGUGACACUGCCGGACGGCACCAUGUUCCACUGUAAUGUUGCAGACACAGGCGGACAAUAUCUGAUGAGACCUGUGACUGACCCAUGUGCUGACAUCUACUGGGGCAUGUUACAUCCUGAAACUCCCCAGAACCCAGGAAUCCUUUCUGCCUACCUGCGGUGGAAGCCCUGGAUAGCGCAGGUCGAACCAUAUGUUUCUCCCCCUGACCCCCCUCAUGUGACUCUAUUUUAUGACAGGCAGCAAACUGAUUGGUACCAUGAGAAGUUUGCGCACUCCCUAGAGGGACAGGACUGGUCUAUUACAGUCCGAGACAUUUUUGUGGCACCUGAGGGCGUGGCAGCCGGUGUGGACCUCACUCCAGAACAAAUGUCUUGGUACAUGAUGAGUGACGAAGGGCAUCCCCACGUCUCAUUAGCUGUACAUCCAAACCACCAGGCCAAAGAACUAGGUGGCAUGGUUAAACGUGCCAUGGGGCAAUCAGACUGGCAACCCACACCUUUACCUCAAAUCAUGUAUUCUCCAUCUGCUAAAGCAUACAAAAUAACUGUUUCAACUAUGAACACUGUCACUCUGGCACAUGAACUGCUUGCUAGACAUCAUGGUAGAGAGAAAACUGAUCAUCCUCUGGCACAGGCUGUGAUUGACAGCUUGCCACCACAUUUAUGGGC